UUCUGAGAAAUAGUCUUUAUUUACUGCGUUCAAUUUGAAAAGUCAUAUAUAUAAUAACAGUAUUACAUAAUAAAAUAUAAAGUAUAACAAUGCAUAAUAUAUGCGAUACAAUAACAAAUCAUGGGUUAUUAAUACUUAAGAUGGAACUGUGAAGUUUCUUACUAUUUCACCCUGAACGGUGUGAAUACUAAAGGGUUUGACUGGUUUCUGAAUUGUGCAGCCUGAUAUGCAUGGGAUUUGCAGUAAACAAUUAAACAACUUAUAAACUACUCAUUUAAAGUAUUUUAACAACCAAACAUCUCUCUAAUAAUAAUUUCAACUUAUUCUCAGAAACUUUUACUAUUAAAAACAUGUAUUUACAGUAUAACAUAGCUGAAGGCUAUUAUUUACAGAAAAGCAAACAGUUGUAAACAAAUUUGCAUAUUCAGGGGGAGAUAACUGUGAAAGUUAAAUAUUGGGACAGGGACUAGCUCACAUACUAAAAAUAAUAACAUGGGGGACUUUAUACAUCAAAUCAUAUAACGCAGUAAAGGAAGUUCAAUAAACUUAGUUACUUUGAGCAAGAGAACUAUAAACAAACUAUGAAUCUUAUGAAAUAAGAAAACAAGUGCAA
rnacentral:lncRNA from 1 species